UUGUUCUCUGGUAGUUUUUUAGUUCAAAUUCUUUUUGUGCAAAUUCAUUCUUGAAACUGUUUACCUCAUUUUCGAAGGGUUCCGUUCACGUUUGUUAUUCAUGUGCGAUGUCAUAUUUACCAGUUACUGCAUUAUAUUUACCACUAUUGCAAGACUGCUAUUGCACUAUUGCAAAGUUUAGGAAUUACUACUGUUUUGUUUAUCUGGAACGUUGUGUGGGAGUCCAAAUGGAAUUGCUGGUCUGCAGUAAAUUUCUUAGGCUAGAUGAUGAAGAUCAAUGAAUCAGAAAAUGUUUUGCAUGGGUGGUGAAUGUUCUGACAGUUUUAACAGUUGCGAUGUGGUGUGUUUCACUUCCACACAUCAUGGUAUUUUUAUCUAUCAGUUGGUUUGUAUGUUUAAUUUUCUGUUCGUGUUACCUCAUUUCCUCUUGACUCAUCUAGUAGAAGUUGGUGACCUGAUACAAUGAACAUGGAAAAAUCACCUGUGCACACGUUGACGAUCAUACCUGUACCGAAGUGCUGGAAACUAAAAUUAAUUUUCUUUAUAAUUUGGUUUCAGGCUAUCUUUAUAAUUUUUUCAUAGUUUUGCGUUUAUUGAUGAGUCCGCAAGCUCUUAGCUGAUUUCCUCCUUUCGAUACCGCCUGUCGACGAUUUGACAGCCUCACACAAUUAAAGAACGCCAAAGUGAGCUCUUCCGAGCAGAAAAGUGACGGCGUACCCAUUUAAUUAAAAAUAGGCACAAGAUAACGCACAAUUGGCGUCCUUGUCUCAAUGGAGAAAUUUUGCCGUGGAACUUUAUAACCGUAAUACCAUUGCAGCUGUUCAAAAAAAGGAAAUGUGUAUUAUCACAUAGAUGUUGACUAGCUAACAAUCCAGAGAUACGUCAA